rfam:Microgenomates bacterium GW2011_GWC1_41_8 TT81_C0037, whole genome shotgun sequence.
CGGAGAGUAGCGCAGCUGGCUAGCGCGCCUGCUUUGGGAGCAGGAGGUCCCGGGUUCGAAUCCCGGCUCUCCGA